rnacentral:tRNA from 1 species
GCCUUCGUGGUGUAAUGGUCAGCACACUGAGCCGGUAUUUCGUCGGUAUGUCCGUGGUUCGAUUCCCGGCGAAGGAA